rnacentral:tRNA from 1 species
UCCUGUGUGGCUCAGUUGGUAGAGCAUGGUGUUUGCAACACCAGGGUGGUAGGUUCAAUUCCCAUGGGGG